UAUUUACCAUCGUUCAUAGCUAUGCCUUCUGGAUAAUUAUAUUCUUCAAGAUUAGUAGGUUCUGUGAUGAGUAGCACCGGAAUCGACCAUCCAUGGGUCUGUUGCAGCUUGGUUACCUGAUAGAAAAUUUACCUUUACCUCUAAAUGAUUGUGAGACUGUGACCUGCAAACAUUUGCAGUAUGACCCUGUCUGUUGCAUAGUUGACAGCGAACAGGGUUACUGGUGCAACGCCCCCAUGCAGGAGCACUUCUACGAUUGUUGGAACGCCAUUGUGAGUUGUUGGGACGACGAGCAGUGCGAUUGCAGGAAUUGGUGGAUCUGUUGUGAGUUGUAAUUGCACUGGUUUCUAUCUUCAAUUCCUCAUGUUUUAGAAAGAGCUCAUAAUCAAUUAGUUUCGAAUACAACUCAUCAUACAAGAUGAUGGAAUCUCUUUCUCAAUUUGCAGUGGAAAUUUCACGAAAUCUGAUACAAGGCCACUCAGAAUUUUCACUACCAACUCAUCGUUUGUGACUGUAGCACCGGCGAUGGCUAGUUCAUUGCAGAUGGAGCGCACUUGAUGGAGAUAAUCAGCAACUGGGAGGGAAUCCUUUGAUAGUCGCGUGAGCUGGUCGCAAAGGCUAAAAAUUUAGGCUACAGUUGCUAGGUGUAGGGAGUGCCAAACAAGUUUAGUAGUGGAGGCAG
rnacentral:lncRNA from 1 species